rnacentral:misc_RNA from 1 species
UCGUAAAAAAGAGGUGUGAGGGCUGUCGCUGACCCCCCAAAGGUCGUGCACGCCUGAGCGCUUUUACACAAUCCAUCUCACCCCUUGUGCAUCACUGCGUGGGUCCCCCCUUUGCGGGGAGGGGCCUGCGUUUCCACACAAAACCCCCACUUUAAAAGUGUAGAAUGACCUCUAUUAUAAAAUCAAUA